GGAAAAGGCAGACCCUCCGUGCCACCUACACAACUCUGUGACAGCCAGGAGCCUGCACUCAGAGCUGUUGGUCCAGGUAUCCUGCUUUGGGCAUCUCAGUGCCCAAAGGUGCCAGGGGAGCAUGGAGUGCCCUCACUGUGAUGCUGAUUAACGUGGCCCCAUGGAUGGAGGGAAGUGUUCUCAAGGCAAGGAUGGGAUGAUGGAAGGAUGUCCUGAUCCUCCCAGGUGAAGACUUCUCCAUGCUAUAGGGGUGCCAAUGCCUGGGACACGCUUGCCCUGUCCCCAUUCUCACAUCCAAAUGAAGUUCAUCCCAACUCGGAGAGCAGAUUGUCCAUUUUUCCACCCUGUGCUUUACAGAGAGCCCUGGCACUGAGGGGUGCCAAGGUGCCCAAACUGCCCCCAAGAAAGGACUUAGUCCCCUGCCACUGGGACCAAGGAAAAGUCCCCAAACACCCAGCAUGGUCGUGCCCCUCCCAUGGGCCACCUCCUAUCCAUAUACAACAAAGCCUGGCAGCGAAUUAAUCUUCAACUGGGCACCGAGGAUUGUUGCUGGAACUUUAUUACAUCGUGUCCUGCCCAGCGCAGCGUUAACCAUUAACCCGGUGGCUCUGAUAUCAGCUCCAGCACCCUGCACUUCAGCUAUCCCUGACAGCAUCUUAUCUGAUCGCACGGCCAUAAAUCUGGGCAUGGAGCUGCCUGAAAGCACCCACGCCUGCAGCAACCCCAGGGAGUUAUCGUGGGGUGAGAAGGAGGAAGAAGGAGCAGGUGAAGGUGGCAACGCCUCGCUUCUCCCACGUCCUUCGAGGGUGUCCUCUGCUCUGCAGGGGGAACGUUAGGAGGGG
ensembl:lncRNA